rnacentral:rRNA from 1 species
GACGAACGCUGGCGGUGUGCUUAACACAUGCAAGUGGUGCGACGAACCAGAGCUUGCUCUGGGGCAAAGCCGCGAACGGUUGAGUAACACGUUGGUAAUCUACCCCGAUGACCGGGACAACCCGAGGAAACUCGGGCUAAUACCGGAUGUGGUGCGGUGACAUAAGUCUCUUCACUAAAGGUAGCUUCGGCUUCCGCAUUGGGUGGGGCCCGCGGCCCAUUAGCUUGUUGGUGGGGUCAAGGCCUACCAAGGCAACGAUGGGUAGCUGGUCUGAGAGGGCGAUCAGCCACACUGGGACUGAGACACGGCCCAGACUCCUACGGGAGGCGGCAGUGGGGAAUCUUGCGCAAUGCGCGAAAGCGUGACGCAGCAACACCGCGUGAGGGAAGAAGGCCUUAGGGUUGUAAAGCUCUUUCAGAUGGGAAGAAGGUUCUCCGGUGAAUAGCCGAGAGGAUUGACGGUACCGUCAGAAGAAGCGCAGGAUAACUAAGUG